GCCGGCGGUAGGCUUACACAUGCACGUCGUGCGAGAAAGUAUCUUCGGAUAUGAGUAGAGCGGCGGACGGGUGAGUAACGCGUAGGAAUCUACCUAGUAGAAGGGGAUAGCCCGGGGAAACCCGGAUUAAUACCGUAUACCUCCUUCGGGAGAAAGAAGGCCUCUCUUUGAAGCUUUCGCUACUAGAUGAGCCUGCGUAAGAUUAGCUUGUUGGUGAGGUAAAGGCUCACCAAGGCUACGAUCUUUAGCUGGUCUGAGAGG
rnacentral:rRNA from 1 species